AUUGAACGCUGGCGGCAUGCCUUACACAUGCAAGUCGAACGGCAGCACGGGAGCAAUCCUGGUGGCGAGUGGCGAACGGGUGAGUAAUGUAUCGGAACGUGCCCAGUCGUGGGGGAUAACGUAGCGAAAGCUACGCUAAUACCGCAUACGAUCUGUGGAUGAAAGCGGGGGACCGUAAGGCCUCGCGCGAUUGGAGCGGCCGAUAUCAGAUUAGGUAGUUGGUGGGGUAAAGGCCUACCAAGCCGACGAUCUGUAGCUGGUCUGAGAGGACGACCAGCGACACUGGGACUGAGACACGGCCCAGACUCCUACGGGAGGCAGCAGUGGGGAAUUUUGGACAAUGGGCGCAAGCCUGAUCCAGCAAUGCCGCGUGCAGGAUGAAGGCCUUCGGGUUGUAAACUGCUUUUGUACGGAGCGAAAAGGCUCUCUCUAAUACAGGGGGCUCAUGACGGUACCGUAAGAAUAAGCACCGGCUAACUACGUGCCAGCAGCCGCGGUAAGAC
rnacentral:rRNA from 1 species